CUUUCUGAAUGAGAGAGCUGUGAGUGAGAGAGCUGUUGCGCAAUAAAACUGCUAGGUUGGUCCCGAAUUAUAAUUAUUGUAUAAAAAACGCUUACCAUUAAAGCUAUUAUUAUAUUAUAGAUACUGGUACUAUUUAUGUAACCGCUGCAUAACUUUCAUGUGUUUGAUGGGCGCGCGUUGAACGUUCGAGCCGCUUUUAAACUGGAGUGGAAAGAGUUUCCAUGGAAACGGGGCGGCAACUCAGCUGACAAGUAGCAAAAAAUCUCCGUCUCUCACUGUUGUUUUUUACUGCUUUCAGAAAUGGUUCAUUGUCAUCGGAAAAAGUCCGUUAGCAUCACAACCGUGAGCUAACCAGAGGCUAACUAUAAGAGUCUUACAUGCUGAUGGCCGUGCAGCAGAGUUGGAGGGGACCUCUUGUUGAAGAACAUCUCCAAGACACUGUGAGCAUCUGAUUAGCUUUUUGUGAAGACAGAAAAUCAAGAGAUGUUGUGACAACCUGGACAGAAUUCAGCUCCAGAUCCAGCCUCCACACCAGACUUCUCACGCACAAGGACUGCUGUCUACUAGCAUAUUAUGUGUUCUCUUUAGAGUUAGGUGCAUGGAGAUAUUACCUGAUUUUUAGAUAUAAUGAAAACUAUAUCAUAUAUAUAUGAAGAGUUCAGAUGCAAAAGCCUCUAAAUGCCAUCUGAAAUUUUCUUCUAAAAUGAGCAUUUUUCUCAAGCUCCUAUAUUUAUGUUCAGUUAUUUCAUUUUAAUUGCAUAGAAAAGGACCUAUAUAUUGCCAUUAGAGUAAAGUAACUGAACCUAAACAUAGCAGCCUGAUCAAAAUGCUCAUUUUAGAUGGCACUUAGAGGCUUUUGCAUCUGAACUCUUCAUAUAUAUAUAUAUACACACUAUAUUGCCAAAAGUAUUGGGUCACCCCCUUCUAAUGAACAGGUUUGACUACUUUAGCAAUUUCCAUGAGUACAAAUCUUAAUGUUUAAGCAUAUAAUGAUAUUCUAGGGAAUUGUGUGCUUCUAAUUUUAAAGCAACAGUUUGGACAGGACCCUUUUCUAUUCUAACAUGACAAUGUCUCUGUGUAUAAGGCAAGGUUCAAAAAGAAAUGAUUGAUUGAGUCAGUGUGGGAGAACUUGACUGGUCUGCAGAAAGCCAAGUCCUAAUCCAAGCUGAACACCUCUGGUGUGACUUUAAAUGCAGACUUUGAGCCAAAAACUCUUUACCAAACACCAAUUUGAUUGGUUGAAUAGAGGAGAAUGUGAUUAGUUGAGAAAUUGUACAUAGUUAAUGAUGGAUCUUAAAUAUUUAAAUACAGUGUGUUGUAUGCCUACUAAGACUUGCAUAUUUGUGCAUAAUAUUUUGACCCUGGAUGCUUACAGAAGGAUAAUCUUUCAUUUAUGUGCCAGAAACAUCAUAAGCAUUCAUAAUUUUGUUGGUCAGUUUAUAUUGUCGCUGUUUUUAAGUUACAUUGUCUGGAGAGUUUUCCAGUUUUUCAGUGUCCAAAUGUUGUUUGUAUUCUAUUUAUUAUGAAGAGGCAAAUUAUAAUCUCGAUAAUGAAAACAUUUACAUGUGUGGAGAUUUAAUUUAGUUACAUAUAGUUUGAGUAAAUGGGAAUAUAUUCUACGAAACAUGUUUAAGUUUAUUUAGUUGAAUAUUUUAAUGCUUUAAAAUAUGUUUGCAUUUAUAGAAAUCUAAUAUAUUUACAUGUACAGAAAUCUAAUAUGUUAACAAAUAUUAGAAAUUAAUAUAUGGACAAAUAUUGCAAAUUAAUAUAUUUACAUAGUCUGAUAUCUAAAUGUAUUUACAUAUAAAGGAAAUAAAUAUAUGUAAAUAUUUCCGAUAAAAAAAUAUUUAUUGAAUAUAUGUGAAAAAUAUUAAAAAGCGGCCAAAAUCAAAUAUUUUAAUAUAUAUUUCAAAAUAUAUUUACAUAUAUUGUGUAAAAUAUAUUUUCUUCUAUUUGAAUUUAAGAUAUUUAAAUAUAUCAAAAUAUAGUUAUUAAACAUAUAUUUCUAUCUAUGUGACUUCUGUAUGGGAUGGUUUAUGUAUUUUUGGUCAAACAGACUUGAGCAAGUUUCCAAACUAUAUUUAUAAUUAUUUAUUUAUAUAUAUUGUGUGAAUCUUUGCAGUGUGUAUGAAAUUAGAAUGAAAAGCUUUUCCUCUCUGCAUUGAUAUAUCAUUAAACCCUUAAUAAAGUGCUUUGUUGUUGAGUGAGAAUUUUCUCAAGAAAUUCUGUGAAAGUGUUACUAUAUACUG